GUCAGAGGAUGGCCGAGCGCGGUCUAUGCGCCAGACUCAAGUUCUGGUCCACGAAUGUGGGGCGUGGGUUCGAAUCCCACUUCUGACA
rnacentral:tRNA from 1 species